AGCCACCCAGGCAAGGUCACCUGGGUGAUAGCUAUUUAUAUUACUGGUUAAUUUUUCCUAAAGCUAGGUUACCUCCUAAGAACUUCAAAGAGUCAGGCAAAUCAGAGUCCAAUAAGUGUCUAUAUACUGCCUCUUGUGAUUAGUAUGAUUGGACCAGAUAGAGAAAUCUAAAGAUCAGCAUAGAUCUAAAUUAAAUAGCUUCAGUGCUGAUGUCAUCAAUCCCUGAUGCCUCUGUGCCUUCUUCUACCACACCCCCUAUUUGUAAAGCAGGAAGAGGGACAAAAAUGGAAAACUAGGAUGAGCAAGUCCCACCAGAGUUCCUUCUGUCUUCUGCCCAGAGAGCGAUAGCAGCAACUUGCUCAUGGAGUCUCAAGUUUUAAUCUUGAAGAAUAUGACCUAACUUCUUUGGGAUCUGGAAGUUGGCAGGGAGCAUCUUAUUCUAUUUCCGCUUUCUCACGGAUGACGUUUCUGGAAUCAGAUAUGCUCAAUUUGGGACCUGCUCUCUUCUUUGGGAAUCCUGACUCCUCCAUCCCCUACCACAUCCACAUGAAAACACCCUUUGGACAUCCUGAGUACCUCCACCAGUUGUUUGUAGCAAAAUUACUCACCCACUGAUUCCAAUGACAAAUGUUUUCAUAAUUAGCUUUGAAAAUCAAGUCUUCCUGAAAUUUCCUAAAAUUAAACAAACAAACAACAAAUCAAAUGCUUAUCACUGGGAUGUCUAAAGAAGUAAAAGAGUCUGAAAUUAAGAGAGCCAGCUGAGGGGGAAAGAUGACCAUGAUCUCUGGGCGACCGUGCCCCUGGAUUAGCCACACUCAGUAGAAGAGCUUCACAAGGUACCAGCUUCUCUCUGCUAGACUGACUCUAUGCUAAAUGCAACAACUGGUGUGUGCUCAACAGGCCAAAGUCUCAGAGAACACACAUUACAGAGUCUCAUAACUCUGAAAUUCAGUUUCAAGAUUCAGUUCCCUGGAGAUGACCUAUGUUAUUUCCCCUAUACCAGGAACCCACAGAGCUUGCCUCUCUCCCUCUUCAGAAAUGAGGGCAAAACAUCACUGCUGGUCAGAGGCAAAAGGAAGUUAAUUCCCUUUAAGGGUGUUAUUUCCUUACUCAAAAACCUAAGUCCAAGGCCAGGGUAGACAGAUUUCUUCAGAAAAGGGCCAGGUAGUAAAUAUUUGAGGUUUUGUGAGCCCAGAGGCAAACUCAAGCUUAUUACGUAGGUACUUAUGUAACAAGAGAGAAAACAGAUUUCUACAAUGUUUUUAACGAAAGUCAAAACAAAAUAAUUGAUUACAAUUUUGUUGUUGCAAUAAAUGUCUACUAAUGAGAA